GAAGUAGGAGAACAUCACUCCAGCCGGUUCAAAAAGUGCAGAAUUGAAUGAAUCAAAGGCUGAGCUGCUCAGUAGAAUUCAAGGGUUGAAACAGGAUCUGCAAAAUUAGAGAA